GGGUAAUACCGGAUAGAUUUUAGCUGAAAGAAGUGAUAAGGAAAGGAAGCUAAGGCUUCGCUUAAGGAUGAGCGUGCGUCCCAUUAGCUAGUGUAAAUAACGCACCAAGGCGAGUGGGUAUCCGGCGAGAGGGUGACGGACACAUUGGGAGUGAGAACGGCCCAAACUCCUGGGAGGCAGCAGUAAGAAUAUUCCGCAAUGGACGGAAGUCUGACGGAGCGACACCGCGUGGAUGAAGAGGCUGAAAAGUUGUAAAAUUCUUUUGCUGAUGAAGAAUAGGGAAUGCUUAUGACGGUAUCGAAUAAGCCCCG
rnacentral:rRNA from 1 species